UACGGAGGGUGCAAGCGUUAUCCGGAUUCACUGGGUUUAAAGGGUGCGUAGGCGGGCAGGUAAGUCAGUGGUGAAAUCCCCGAGCUCAACUUGGGAAUUGCCGUUGAUACUAUCUGUCUUGAAUAUCGUGGAGGUGAGCGGAAUAUGUCAUGUAGCGGUGAAAUGCUUAGAUAUGACAUAGAACACCCAUUGCGAAGGCAGCUCACUACACGAUAAUUGACGCUGAGGCACGAAGGCGUGGGGAGCAAACAGG
rnacentral:rRNA from 1 species